rnacentral:ncRNA from 2 species
GGACGAGCCUCUGGAGAGACUGAGAGCCCAGGAUAACCCCUAGGUAUCACGGCGCCGAAGGCGAAAGUGCAGCCCCAAUGGCUGCGCGAAACGCUCAGGCAAAAGGACAGAGGAGAGGAU